GCUCCGGUGGCCUAGUGGUUCGAGCGUUCGCCUCGGAUGCGGAAUGUCGUGGGUUUGAUCCUCGACCGAGUCA